GAUGAACGCUAGCGGCAGGCCUAACACAUGCAAGUCGAGGGAGAAGCCCUUUCGGGGGCAGAAACCGGCGCACGGGUGCGUAACGCGUAUGCAACCUACCUUUCACAGGGGGAUAGCCCGAAGAAAUUUGGAUUAAUACCCCAUAAUAUUAUUGGAUGGCAUCAUUUGAUAAUUAAAACUGCGGUGGUGAAAGAUGGGCAUGCGUCCUAUUAGCUAGUUGGAGUGGUAACGGCACCCCAAGGCUACGAUAGGUAGGGGUCCUGAGAGGGAGAUCCCCCACACUGGUACUGAGACAGGGACCAGACUCCUACGGGAGGCAGCAGUGAGGAAUAGUGGUCAAUGGUCGGAAGACUGAACCAGCCAUGCCGCGUGCAGGAAGAAUGCCUUAUGGGUGGUAAACUGCUUUUAUAUGGGAAGAAUAAGGCGUACGUGUACGUUGAUGACGGUACCAUAUGAAUAAGCAUCGGCUAACUCCGUG
rnacentral:rRNA from 1 species